rnacentral:rRNA from 1 species
GACGAGGGGUCCAAGCGUUGUUCGGAAUCAUUGGGCGUAAAGCGGGUGUAGGCGGCUCUAUAAGUCAGAAGUGAAAACCCUGGGCUUAACCCGGGAAGUGCUUUUGAUACUGCAGAGCUUGAAUGUGGGAGAGGGUAGUGGAAUUCCAGGUGUAGUGGUGAAAUACGUAGAUAUCUGGAGGAACACCGGUGGCGAAGGCGGCUACCUGGCCCAACAUUGACGCUGAGACCCGAAAGCAUGGGGAUCAAACAGG